GCCGCUUUAGCUCAGAUGGUAGAGCACAUCAUUCGUAAUGAUGGGGUCGGAGGUUCGAGUCCUCUAAGCGGCACCA
rnacentral:tRNA from 1 species